UGGCUCUCGCAUCGAUGAAGAACGCAGCGAAAUGCGAUAAGUAAUGUGAAUUGCAGAAUUCAGUGAAUCAUCGAAUCUUUGAACGCACCUUGCACCCUUUGGUAUUCCGAAGGGUACACCCGUUUGAGUGUCAUUGUACUCUCACUACCAAUGACUUUUUGGUCUUUUGGUAUGUGGACCUGGAUGUUGCCGUGAUAUCCACGGCUCGUCUGAAAUGCCUGAGUGUACCCCGCUUUGCGGCGUAUUCGGUGUGAUACAUCUUCACCGGAGUUGAUCCUUUUGGGUCGCGUCUGUAGUGUGUGGCUCUAUGCUUCAAACCGUCUCUUGUGGACAAGCUUUGACAAUUUGACCUCAAAUCGGGUGGGACUACCCGCUGA
rnacentral:misc_RNA from 1 species